AUUGAACGCUAGCGGGAUGCUUUACACAUGCAAGUCGAACGGCAGCGCGGACUUCGGUCUGGCGGCGAGUGGCGAACGGGUGAGUAAUGUAUCGGAACGUGCCCAGUAGCGGGGGAUAACUACGCGAAAGCGUAGCUAAUACCGCAUACGCCCUACGGGGGAAAGCAGGGGAUCGUAAGACCUUGCACUAUUGGAGCGGCCGAUAUCGGAUUAGCUAGUUGGUGAGGUAACGGCUCACCAAGGCGACGAUCCGUAGCUGGUUUGAGAGGACGACCAGCCACACUGGGACUGAGACACGGCCCAGACUCCUACGGGAGGCAGCAGUGGGGAAUUUUGGACAAUGGGGGCAACCCUGAUCCAGCCAUCCCGCGCGUGCGAUGAAGGCCUUCGGGUUGUAAAGCACUUUUGGCAGGAAAGAAACGUAGCGGGCUAAUACCCCGUGGAACUGACGGUACCUGCAGAAUAAGCACCGGCUAACUACGUG
rnacentral:rRNA from 1 species